UACGGAGGGAGCUAGCGUUGUUCGGAAUUACUGGGCGUAAAGCGCACGUAGGCGGCUCUUUAAGUCGGGGGUGAAAUCCUGGAGCUCAACUCCAGAACUGCCUUCGAUACUGAAGAGCUCGAGUCCGGGAGAGGUGAGUGGAACUGCGAGUGUAGAGGUGAAAUUCGUAGAUAUUCGCAAGAACACCAGUGGCGAAGGCGGCUCACUGGCCCGGUACUGACGCUGAGGUGCGAAAGCGUGGGGAGCAAACAGG
rnacentral:rRNA from 1 species